GAGUUUGAUCCUGGCUCAGAACGAACGCUGGCGGCGUGCCUAACACAUGCAAGUCCAACGUGAAAGGGGAGCAAUCCCCCGGUAGGGUGGCAAACGGGUGAGUAAUACAUGGGUGAUCUACCUUAGGGAUGGGGAUAUCCUUCCGAAAGGAGGGGCAAUACCGAAUAUUGUCCGGAGCCGUGAAGGGUUCCGGGGAAAGGGAGGCCUCUGAUACAAGCUUUCGCCUUAAGAUGAGCCCAUGGCCCAUCAGCUAGUUGGUAGGGUAAAGGCCUACCAAGGCUACGACGGGUCGCUGGUCUGAGAGGACGACCAGCCACACUGGCACUGAGAUACGGGCCAGACUCCUACGGGAGGCAGCAGUGAGGAAUAUUGCGCAAUGGGGGAAACCCUGACGCAGCAACGCCGCGUGUGGGAAGAAGGCCUUCGGGUCGUAAACCACUUUUGCACGGGACGAAAAAGGGAUAUCGAACAAAUAUCCCCGAUGACGGUACCGUGAGAAUAAGCCACGGCUAACUCUGUGCCAGCAGCCGCGGUAAGACAGAGGUGGCAAGCGUUGUUCGGAAUUACUGGGCGUAAAGAGUCUGUAGGUGGUUUGUCAAGCCUUUGGUGAAAGGCCGUAGCUUAACUAUGGGAAUGCCAAAGAGACUGGCAGGCUGGAGGCUGGGAGAGGGAAGCGGAAUUUCUGGUGUAGCGGUGAAAUGCGUAGAUAUCAGAAGGAAGGCCGGUGGCGAAGGCGGCUUCCUGGAACAGUCCUGACA
rnacentral:rRNA from 1 species